GUGGUAUGAUUGCCGAUGAGACAAUGUCCUUUUGUAUCAUACAGAUAUGGAAUGACCAGCAUUCACAAUUCUAGGUACUUAGGGUGCAAUACCGUCUUUCCCCAAACAACACAGAAUGACUAGCAUUCACAAUUAUAGGUACUUAGGAUGCAAUACCGUCUUUCCCCAAACAAAACAGAACGACUAGCAUUCACAAUUAUAGGUACUUAGGGUGCAAUACCGUCUUUCCCCAAACAAAACAGAACGACUAGCAUUCACAAUUAUAGGUACUUAGUGUGCAAUACCGUCUUUCCCCAAACAAAACAGAACGACUAGCAUUCACAAUUAUAGGUACUUAGGGUGCAAUACCGUCUUUCCCCAAACAAAACAGAACGACUAGCAUUCACAAUUAUAGGUACUUAGUGUGCAAUACCGUCUUUCCCCAAACAAAACAGAACGACUAGCAUUCACAAUUAUAGGUACUUAGGGUGCAAUACCGUCUUUCCCCAAACAAAACAGAACGACUAGCAUUCACAAUUAUAGGUACUUAGGGUGCAAUACCGUCUUUCCCCAACAACACAGAACGACUAGCAUUCACAAUUAUAGGUACUUAGGGUGCAAUACCGUCUUUCCCCAACAACACAGAACGACUAGCAUUCACAAUUAUAGGUACUUAGGGUGCAAUACCGUCUUUCCCCCAACAACACAGAAUGACUAGCAUUCACAAUUAUAGAAUUAAACAGUAGUCUUUCCUUGCAGGAAAAAAAUCGCCAACAGUGACAUUCAGAAUAUUUUACAUUUUUAUCGUUGACGUGCACAUCCUCAUUUGUCAAAUUUUUUUUUCAACUGAUUGUCAACAAGAAAAAGUUAGUCAAGAAUUUAUAUCCUUGAAGGAGUACCUUUUGGUCUUGUUUCAUCAAAUAGGAUCUGCUGAAAAUGAUAAAUGUAGCUGAGUGUAUAUUUAAAAACAAA